CGAACCUUUAAAUUCGGUCCGGAGAGGCCGGGAAGGUUGUACGGGUAGUCCGCCUGCCCAUGCCGCGCGCAUGGACAGCCGGGCCGAAUUCUGCACGUAUGCCCUCCUGCCUUCCGGCGGGAGGGUUUUUCAU
rfam:Edaphobacillus lindanitolerans strain MNA4 genome assembly, contig: Ga0116976_11